UCUCACUUUCACUUCGUCUUUUCUCCUUCUUCUUCUUCGAACUGGAAAAAGAGAACAUCACAGUGCACUUCACGUAAAUGGUUGUUAACAUCGUCUCUGCUCCUCCUUCUUCUCCAGUUGCUAUUCUUUUUCAGUUGUUAACAUCACGUAAAUGAUUUUGGGUAGAAUAGCUAUAGAGAUAAAUUAAUUUAGGGUUCAAGUUCAAUUGAUUUUUAAGAAAUUAGGUUUUGUGGUUAUUCAAUUGGGGGUUUUAGUUGAUGAAUUACAGAGAAGUUGCGGAACAUGGAGAAGAUAAGUGGUGCAAUUAUCUAGGAUGGAAUGGUGCUGCUUCACUAAUUAUUGAUAGAUCGAUUUCUCUUCUCCAUGUUCUUCAAUUUUGUAUCAAUUUGUUGGAAUUUCACGAAUAAUUGAUGGAAAAAUUUGGAGGGCUAGAGGAGUAUAUGAAUGAAUGAUGAAUCAGUAGAUGGAUGGUUGUAACAAUACAGGGAGACAAGUUAGAGAAGAUGUUGAGGUAAUAAACCCGGUACCGGCUGGAACCGGAUUGGAAUCUCCGGUACAAGUCCAGGUCCAAGUACAGGGAACGGUCCUCAGUAUGAGGUACCGGUCAACACCAGGUACAGGGACCGGUUCCAUAAGAGAACCGGUCCGUACCGGACCCUGUGCAGCCCUAGUUGCAAAGAGGGAAAUGAGUUGAUCUGUAGGAGGGAAUCUGAGAAUUGUGUGGGAUCAAUGAUGAUCAAGAAUUGUGGAUGUGUUGAAGGUUUCUGCGAUAAUGAUGAACUGAUGAGUUCGAAUAAUAUCUGAGAGAUUGACGAAUUCUUGAGAGUAAUUGCUCGAGAAAUUCUGUGUAGACGAAUGUUCGUUUCUUGUCCUCAAUCAUGUAUUCAGAAACUUAUUUAUAUUUUCAGAAUGGUAAAAACAUCUUGAUCCCUGUAA